rnacentral:misc_RNA from 1 species
CCACAGUUAGUUUAAAUAGAAAUGAAUUCUGAGUUAAUCAGAUAUUCAUAUUUUCUAUGCUAACAUUUUGGUAUAUUAAAAAUUUUUUCAGCCCUAAUUUAUUAAAAGAAGAAUAAGGAGGAGCAAGACAAAAUUAUGCUUCUUUUUAUAUAUAUAUAUAUAAUAUAUAUAUAUAUAUAUAUAUAUAUGUGUAUAAAAUCAUAUAUAUUUUUAUAUACAAAAAAUAUGAAAUUAUUAAUUUCAUAUCAUGAAUAAUGUGUACAUCGAUAUUGAUGUAUGCACAAAUGCAUUGAAAUAGAGUAAAAUGUAUUUUAAAAUGGUAAUAUUUGUGAAAAUAGGCCAAACAAAGAAGAAAUAUCGUUCUUACAUAAAAUAUUAAAAAAAUAUGUAUUAGAGAACGAAGAUUCUUUUUCAUAAUACGUAAGUAACAUGCGCAUGUGCAUUGCAAAUAUAAUUGAUGAUAAUGCUAAAAAUGAAUGAUAAUAAUAAUCUCAAACAAUGAAUGGAAUUGUUGUGUUAUUGGGAAAAAAAAGUCUUCAAUGAAAACUAAUUUUGCAUAAUGCAGUUAAGUGUGCUGUUUUCGUAUUAUGAUAUUUUCAAAUAUAUAGAAAAUAUCAUAUUCUCAUAUAUAUAUAAUAAAAAUUUUAUUAUAUAAUAUGUAAAAAAGAAUUAUAUAUU